rnacentral:rRNA from 1 species
UACGUAGGGUGCGAGCGUUAAUCGGAAUCACUGGGCGUAAAGGGCGCGUAGGCGGCCUGAUAAGUAGGGGGUGAAAUCCUGCGGCUUAACCGCAGGGCUGCCUUCUAAACUGUCAGGCUGGAGCACAGUAGAGGCAGGUGGAAUUCCCGGUGUAGCGGUGGAAUGCGUAGAGAUCGGGAAGAACAUCAGUGGCGAAGGCGGCCUGCUGGGCUGUUGCUGACGCUGAGGCGCGACAGCGUGGGGAGCAAACAGG